rnacentral:rRNA from 1 species
AUUGAACGCUGGCGGCAGGCCUAACACAUGCAAGUCGAGCGGAUGAGUGGAGCUUGCUCCAUGAUUCAGCGGCGGACGGGUGAGUAAUGCCUAGGAAUCUGCCUGGUAGUGGGGGACAACGUUUCGAAAGGAACGCUAAUACCGCAUACGUCCUACGGGAGAAAGCAGGGGGACCUUCGGGCCUUGCGCUAUCAGAUGAGCCUAGGUCGGAUUAGCUAGUAGGUGAGGUAAUGGCUCACCUAGGCGACGAUCCGUAACUGGUCUGAGAGGAUGAUCAGUCACACUGGAACUGAGACACGGUCCAGACUCCUACGGGAGCAGCAGUGGGGAAUAUUGGACAAUGGGCGAAAGCCUGAUCCAGCCAUGCCGCGUGUGUGAAGAAGGUCUUCGGAUUGUAAAG